CGGUGCCCUUCUUCGGCUACCUCAUGUCGUUCAUCGGGUCCUCAUUGAACGUCACUGUCGCCGUCCUGUUCCCGUGUCUGAGCUACCUCAAGAUCUACAUGCCUCGAGGAGGAGUUGGCCGCUUCGAGGUGGCGGCGAUCGUUGGGAUACUGGUCAUCGGAGUGUGUGUCGCCGUCAUUGGCACCUACACCUCCCUUCACCAGAUUAUAGGCACAUUUUGAUUGUACAUUUGUGGGUAUGGUGGUAGGUUUAGGUAGUAAUUAAAUAGGUUUCAAAUUCUUUUUUUUAUUUAUUUUCUUAAAAAAACAACAUAUAUGUUAUACUGAGUGUUAAGAAUCAACUGAGCGGCUAUAUAUUGCAUGUGUACUCUCCUGGAAUGCAUAUGUGUAUUAUCACUAAGGAAGUUUCAGAACUUUCAUUGUCUUCAUGUUGACUAAUUAUUGCAGCUAAAAUUUAAAUUUUGAAAUUACUUAAGUUUUAAGUUAUUCUGAAGUUUAUCCAUCAUAGUUUAUCUUCUUCUACCCUUAGAUUUAAAUCACUGGUAACAUGUAUAAAAGUUGGGAUUUGUAACAUAUAUGUCUGCAAUUUUUUUUUUGGUUUUAUCUAUAAAUUAUUAUUUUUGGUUUGUUUCAUUCAAGGCUUAUUAGCCUAACUAAAUUUUGUCGAUUCUGAAAGUAUGGUGAAAUAUGACGCAAAUGGCCAUGCUUCUUAUGAGAUUAAUUUUUUAAUGAAAGAUCGGUAGAGUAAAUUCCAUUUGUUUUCUAAUAGAUGACGCCGUUAACUUUUAAAUAAAUGUUUGACCAUUCGUUUUAUCCAAAAAUUUUAUAUAAAUGUAUAAGAUAAUUAAAUCAUGCUUAAAGUACUUUAAGUGAUAAAACAACUUAAAAAAUAUAUAUUAUAAUUACAUAAAAUUUUUGAAUAAUACGAAUAGUCAAACGUGUGACAAAUAAUCAAUGGUGUCAUCUAUAGAAAAAAACAGAGGCGAUGGCGGCGGCUGCGAUCCAGACCGGUGGAUCCCUCGACGAAGGCGAGGAGAGGAGGAGAAGUUCACCGGUGAGCUGCGUGCCGUCACCGGCACGCAGCUCGAUCUCCAUUUACUUCGCCGUCUUCCCCUACUGCAUGCAAACAAUGUUGUAUCGAGGGCUCUGCACCACGAUCGAAGUGGUCCUCGAGCUCUGGGUACUCCGAUUGCCUUGCCUAGUUGGAGCUUCAUUAAGCCAUGCAUGCUCGCGGGAAGGAGCUCAAGCUGAUAGCCCACUCGUGGAGUCUGCCACCGCCAACUCCACCACACCUCGUUAAUUUUGCCGUCGUCGGGCGGAGCAGCUUCCAGAGCUGGCGCCCGGCCCUCUACUACCCUCACCGCCCGCCGCCUUGCUCCUCAUCGGCGCGGCCCGCUCGCCUUCCUUUUCCGUGGCUCGAAAUGGAGUAACUUGUAGAGCCAGCGCUGCUCCAACAGGGAGUAGGAGGCUGGCUGCCGCUGGACUUCGAGUUCGGCCCACCCGUGCUGAUCCCCUUUCGCUCUUGCCCCGUGCUCCCUCUCGCAGUGGCCCUACCCUCUUCCAUAUUAUUUUCUGGACGUAAUGACAUGUAAAGCGCCAUGUAGAUGUCAAGUGAGAAAAAAAAACAAGUCAAAAUGUUAUGUAGGAUAAAACUGUUGUUUCAAAUCACCCUAGGAUUUGAUUUGCACUGGUUUUGAUAGUAGAAAUAGGGGUGGGCAGAAAAAGACCGAACCGAAAAGACCGAGACCGAGAAAUCCGGUCAUCAAUUCGGUCCUAGGUAGUAAAAGACCGAAUUUUGUUCGGUCAACUCGGUUAGUCUCCUCGGGUAACCGAAUAGACCGAAUUAUUAAAAAAAUGUCUAAAUACAACAUAUAAUCCACUAUGUUUAAUAGGAUUAAAUUCUAAUUUUCACAUCCCUACUUUUUCUAGACAUGCAACCUAAUAAGAGUCUUUACUCAUAACUGCUUAUGAUUGUUUUUUUUGUUAUUUUUGUGUUGAAAAUUUCCAUUAUUUCUUUGCAUAUAUAAAAAUGUUAUUGUAUUUCGGUUAGGACCGAGAAGACUGAGACCGAAUUUGUCGGUCCUGACAUUUUUUCGUUGAAAUUCGGUCUUCACUUUUCAAAGACCGAAAUUUUCGGUUAGACCGAAUGCCCACCCUUAAGUAGAAGUAUGACAUAUACUUUUGUGGAGGAGGGAUGAAAAUGAAACUCGGCCUAUAGCUGAGGUAUGCAAAAUGGACUUUUUCCUUGUUCCUAUUAAGGCCUUCUUUAUUAGGCCGAAAUACCAGCCCAUAGGUGGACAUGGAUGGUCUCAGACUAUGGACCAUGUCCAAAUGAGGCCUCGUAGAAGGUAACGAAAGCUAGAGGUUACAGAGGGCCAGCAGCAUCCCGGCAUAGCCGGUUGGCUAGCAGUCCCGGUCCAAAACCAAACUCGGGAGUCCACCAAUGCUGCUAGGUCUCGGUGCCGGUGGGUCUCUCGUCGGACCUGGGCUUCAGUUGGGCACCAUGCGAGCAGCAGACACCGGCACACCGCGUGAGCAACUAGCGAAACAGCAGACACCGCGCGAGCCGUGAGCAGCAAAGCUUUCGCUACGCAUCUUCGCUAGCUGCAGAAUGCCCCCCAAACCCUUUGCUAGCUGCAGAACGCCCAUCCUUCCUCCCGCCCGCACUCGAUCGCCCGCCUACGCAGGAUGACAGAAUCUUUAUCUCCACCACGGUCCACGCUCGUACGCCGCGACCUGUCUUGGCCGGCCGCGUGUAUGCAUGCUUGAAGAGCUUGAUGGACAGUGGACAAUUGGAAAGGUUCCAGUGUUAGUUCUCACAAAAAAAAAAAAGUUCCAGUGUUCCAAAUGAGGUUUACGGGCGUUUUUUUUUUUUAAUUACAAAGUACAACGUAGACACUCAAAACACAAGCACACUCACCGUUAUGAACGCACGCACGCAAACCAUACCGGCCAUAUAAGCAUCUUUGAAGGUUCGUGGAUAUUCUUAACCAAAACAAAAAUAAUUAUCUUUAUCUUUAUCUUUAUUUUUAUAUCUAUACCUAAUUAAAAGAUUCGUAUUUUUCCUUUAGUCACAUUUUAUUUCGUCCAUAUGUCCGAUUCCCUCCCUCUCAGCGCGUGCAUGGGCGGUUUACAAAACUAGGGUUUCUCUUUCAACAUCUAUACGAUAUGGUUUUGCUUUGAUUCUUGGGAAAACGGAAAGAGGAGAAGAUAAGGAUCAAAACCCUCAAUUUCGGAUUAUCUCACUGGAUGUGGCCAGAUUUCACAAAGGAGGGGGAUUCAAGCCUUCUCAGGCAGAUGCGGCAAUACAGACGGAGGUUGGAGACGCCCCUGUAGUACUGGCCCACGUGACAAUGAAAGGAGUGGGGGAGGCUGAUUAGACUUGGCGACAGUGAAGGAAAGAAUGGGGGAGGAUGAUUAGACUUGUAGUGCCUUGCUGGGCUGGAUGCGUACUUGCGGGCCGAAGCAAAGGGGAGGAGAAGGGAGAAAAGUGGGUCGGCUAGGCUACGGGCUGAGGAAGGAAACGGGCUAAAAUUGGCCCAAGAGAAAGGAGAAUUUUUAUUUAGAUUUUUGUUUAAAUAAAUGCUGAAAUGAUGUUUGUAUUAUUAAAAUUAGCCAUUGAGAUCUGAAAAUUUCAAGAAAUUUCUAGAUAGUGUAAUUAAUCAUGGAGAACUUCAUAAAAAUUAAAUUCAGGCAUAUCAUUUUAUUUCCACACUUACUUUACUUUUCAAUUAAUUUAAACACCUACCUACUUAAAAAAAUCAAGUAUUCCAGGAAAUGUGUAUUUAAGUUAAUUACAUAAUCUAAAUCUUUCUUAAAUUCUCCUCGAUUUUCUCAUCUUUUCUUCCCGUUGUAACGCACGGGUAUUUUUUAUAGUACCUACUAAAAAACGAAAUAUGUUUCCAACCAAAAUUUCGAUCGUCCGUCAAAAUAACAAAAAAUUUGUUUUUUGGUUACAAGGAGGGAACCUGUUUUCUUUCGAAAACGCUUUACUUCGGACGUCCGACCCGAGCAAAAUAAUCGGACGCUACCACACGAAAGUACUCCCAGAGUAGGCACUACAUGCAGCGAUGGGCCCACAAAAACAGGAGAAUGCCAGAUGUGCGGGCACCCGAUGUAGUGCGCAUGCAUUGGGCGCUGCUACCGCUUGGGCGCACCACGCCGCCUGUUGUGCCACCCACGUCUCUCCUACACGCGUCCUCGUGCUGCCACGUGUCCCCACCACGCGGCACCAGAGAGGUUGGCACCGUCCCAUUGUAUGACGGUGCCAACGACUCUGGCGCCCCGAUAAGUUUUUUCAGGGUUCUAUUUAUGAAAUAAGUUUUUUUAAAAGGAUCAGGGAGGUCACUUUGGUGUUGAGUACGUAGUAUAUCACUAGAAACAACAAUUUUACCGUCGCCAUUCUUCCAAGGUUGGUGUUUACACUCUGAUAUUCUUCAUAUCUCUUAUAUUUGCUGGUAUUAACAUAAGAGUAAAGUGCAUAGACGGGUCCUUAAACUCGUAGGGUUGUGUCAUCUAGGCCCUAAAGUCUAAAAAUGCAGAUUCGGGUCUCAGAACUUGUCAAAGUGUAUCAUUUAGAUUCCAAAUCGAUAUAGCCCUUUAGUAUCCUACGUAGCGCCAAUGUGGCAUGCCACAUGGACGUGACGUGUCAUUUUCUUUUUUUUUCUUUCCUUUUUCCUUUUCCUUUUUGUUUUCUGAUCUCAUUCUUCUUUUUGUUUCCUUUCUUCUGCUCGGCUCACAGAGAAAGGAGAAGAAAGGGAAAAAAAAGAGAAGAAAAGAAGGAAAAAGAAAAAGAAAAAAUUUUAAAUGGGUUCCAUUUGUCACAUCAUGUUCGUGUGGCAUGCGACAUCAGCGUCAUGUAGGAUCUCAAAGGGGCUGUGGCGAUUUGGGAUUUAGAUGACAUACUAUAAUAAUUUCUGAGACUUGAAUAUACAUUUUAAGAGUUUAUAGACUUAGAUGACACAAUAUUACAAAUUUAAGAACCACUCGUGUACUUUACUCUUAUCAUAAGUUAGUAGUCUUCAGUCAACGGCCGGUAACCUCAUAGAACAGAAUAAAGACAGGGAACAAACUCCAGAUUCUUCCCGUCAGCUGACAAAGCGGGAAGAAUUCUAGUUUUAGUGAAGCGGUAGAAGUAACUAUUUUCAACCAAAGUGUUUGAGCCCCAAAUCCUCGCUUUUGUUGAAAACAAAAACAGUGGUAGAUGUAAUUAUAACAUGUACUCCCUCCGUUUUAAAAUGUUUGACACCGUUGACUUUUUAGUACAUGUUUAACCGUUCGUCUUAUUCAAAAAAAUUUAUAAAAUAUGUAAAAUUAUAUGUGUACAUGAAAGUAUAUUUAAUAAUGAAUCAAAUGAUAUGAAAAGAAUAAAUAAUUACUUAAAUUUUUUGAAUAAGACGAAUGGUCAAACAUGUACUAAAAAGUCAACGGUGUCGAACAUUUUGAAACGGAGGGAGUAUUAUCAAUAUGUUUUGAUUUGCCUCUCAAAAUAAUACGUCCGCAUCUCGGCAGUGCGCGUCCCCCCUUCGCCCGUCACAGUCGGCGCGCGUGACGGCCUUGGAGCCAGACGAAAAGCAGGUCGAGACCGCUCCACCGCGCAUAUCCACGCAACGCAACUGGUACGUGCUGCCUUGACGCGCCCAGAAAAGCGGCACGGCUUCCACAUUUUUCGGCCAAAUAUUAUAUCCGGCCGUGUACCGGAGCACGUGCCGAGAACACGUCGCCGUCGUCACGUCUCCCGCCGUGAUCUAGCGCCAACCGGGGACGACCAAUCACGUAUAGCCGGAGAGGUCAAUAGCCGAGUAGGCGACCACUCGUUUGGUCUAUUGGCCAGUUAGAAUCGCUGCAGGUUUUAAGCAAGGGGGAUAAAUUAAGAGUCCUGGACGCGUUGGCGGGACAGGGACGUGUGUUUCGUCUUCGAGAGCUCGACUUCACUCGCACCGUGUCCGUGUGUUGCGUGUGUAUAUAUAGCUGGGCAGCCACGCUCUGGUUUCCAUCAAACUAGAACUGAACUGAGCGAGCUAGCUGCUUCUACAACUGUGCAGGUAGCUAAUUAAUCUAGCAAUCCUCCCGUAGAUUGGAAUAAUGGCAGAUCAGAAGGUGAUUCUCGCCGAGCCGCUGCUUCCGGGGAAGGAAGCUGACUUCGCCGACGACGACGACGUGGAGGCGCAGCUCACUUCGUACCACACCGGCGCCUCCUUCUCCAGGACGUGCCUCAACCUCACCAAUGCCGUCUCCGGCAUCGGGGUGCUGUCCAUGCCGUACGCGGUGUCGCAGGGCGGGUGGCUCAGCCUGCUGCUCUUCGUCCUCGUCGGCGCCGUGUGCUACUACACCGGCACGCUCAUCGAGCGCUGCAUGCGCGCCGACGGCUCCAUCGCCAGCUACCCGGACAUCGGCCAGUACGCCUUCGGCGCCACCGGCAGGAGAGCCGUCGCAUUCUUCAUGUACGUCGAGCUCUACCUCGUCGCCAUAAGCUUCCUCGUCCUCGAGGGCGACAAUCUCGACAAGCUCUUCCCCGGCGCAACCAUGGAGAUUCUUGGCUACCAGCUCCACGGCAAGCAGCUAUUCAUUGUACUCGCCGCCGCCGUCAUACUGCCCACUACCUGGCUCAAGAAUCUUGGCAUGCUCGCUUACGUGUCAGCGGCCGGGCUCAUCGCCUCGGUGGCCUUGACGGCGUCACUGAUCUGGGCCGGUGUCGCCGAGACCGGGUUCCACCGGAACAGCAACACGCUCAACCUCGCCGGAAUCCCCACCUCCCUCGGUCUCUACUUCGUCUGCUUCACCGGCCACGCCGUCUUCCCGACGAUAUACUCCUCCAUGAAGAACAGCAAACACUUCUCCAAAGUUCUCUUGAUCUCGUCGGUGCUGUGCAGCCUCAACUACGGGCUCACGGCGGUGCUGGGCUACAUGAUCUACGGUGACGAUGUGCAGUCGCAGGUGACGCUGAACCUGCCCUCCGGCAAGCUCUACACCAAGAUCGCCAUCGUGAUGACGCUGGUGAACCCGUUGGCCAAGUACGCGCUGCUCGUGGCGCCGAUCACGGCGGCCGUCGAGGAGAGGCUGUCUCUGACGCGGGGCAGCGCGCCGGCGAGGGUGGCCAUCAGCACCGCCAUCCUCGCCAGCACGGUGGUGGUGGCGUCGACGGUGCCCUUCUUCGGCUACCUCAUGUCAUUCAUCGGCUCGUUCCUCAGCGUCAUGGCGACCGUGCUGUUCCCUUGCCUCUGCUACCUCAAGAUCUACAAGGCCGAUGGCAUCCACCGCACGGAGAUGGUGGCCAUCGCCGGAAUUCUGCUGCUAGGAGUGUUCGUCGCCGUCACCGGCACGUACACUUCUUUGCUGCAGAUUAUAGCCACUUUCUGAGGUGGUUGGUUGCUGUUGGUCUCUGAUAGUAGACAGUAGUACUUACAGACAAUAGUGUGACCACAGUGUCCUUAAAAUAAAGGGCGCUUGAAAAAAUUUUCGGAGUUAGUUUGUAUCUAAGAUAAAGCUGAAUCAAUAAUAUUGACUUAGGUGAAAAAAUUGUAUAUAUUAUUGGUGCCAACAAUGUCAAUGUUGUAUUUAAUAAAUAUCAGAUAUGAGACACUAAUUUAGGUUUAUUUGUAAAAAAAAAAAUGCCAAGUGACUAAUUUGUUUAAGGAACAAAUCCAUAAGAGAUGUUG
rnacentral:lncRNA from 1 species